rnacentral:sRNA from 1 species
GCUGGGUGUGGUGGUGCAUGCCUGUAACCCCAGCUGUUUGGGAGGCUGAGACAGGAGGAUCAAGAGUCCAAAGCCAGCCUCAGCAAAAAGCGAGGCACUAAGUAAUUUAGUGAGACCCUGUCUCUA